CCACUACUUCUAAAAGUAGCAGAAAGAGUUCUCCAUAGAAAAGUCUUUCUAGUAUCACCAUAACCAUACAUGAAGAAUUACCCACCAACUCCACUAUUAACAACAUUUAAAAUCUUAUCAAAUGCAUUUUGUUGUUCAUCUGUUAUGGUUUGUAAGCAUCUUUGAAGCUUGAGUUUAAGAGAUAUCCAAUCAAAGUUUAAUUCAUCCAUCAUGAAGUGGUCAUCAAGACCAUCAAUGACUUCGUCAGAUGGAUAUGGCAUGUUAUUAAACUCUUUAAGAGAUCUUCCAUUCGCUUGUAUCUUCUCUUUGUAAGACCCAAAAUUCCCAAAUUAAAAACCCUAACCCCUUUACCCCACUGCCAUUCAACCAUUUACAUCCUAAAAAUACAGACACACACAGAGAAAGGGGAAGAGAGAAACGGGAAGAGAAGGAGAGGGAAGUGAAGAGAGAAAGGGAAGAGAGGAGAGCGAAGGAGCCACCGCCAGCUGGUCGCCGCCGAAUCGGUCACCCAUGCCGUUCGUCCUCAUUGUUGCUAGCUGCGCCAUCGCGGAAAGGAGAUGCGAUGGAGAGAGGGGGUCCGCGGAGGCUCGUUGCCAUUCAUGGAGUCUGCGCCAGCGCCGUCAUUGCCGUCGCGGAGGAGCGUCCCUGUCUCCGCGAGUUGUCGCCAUCGAAACUGAGACCGUCACCGCUAAAGCUCGCCACUGCUGUUGGGUAGUCACUGGAGGGAGCCAUCGCUGUCAGUGCCGCCAUCGGAGUUACCACUGCUCUGUCCCGGUGUUCUUCCUAAGGUUAAGUUCCGAUGAUUGCAUGUAAAAAUUAAGGUUGUUGCUGAACUACCAGAGCUUUUGGCCACUGUCAGAGCUGCUGCUGAGUCAGUUUGUAGGCUGCUGCUUCGUUCUUUUGGUGUAAAGUAAACGGAGCUGUGUAUGCAGCCGCCGCUGUUGCAGACCGAGGGAAAAAGGGAGUUAUAGCGUUAAAAUUGUUGCGGGCUUGAUUCUUUGAGGUUAAUGGACCUAUGUUGGUUGAAGACACUUGCCUUUGUUUCAAUGCCUUAAAAGGUCUUCCAGAUUGGGCCUUACAUGUAAGUUCUAUUUCACAUUUUAUCAUAAUCUUAAGGUUUUGAAGAGUUAUGGACAUAUUGACGUACAUCAAGAACAACCUUAUGGUGAUAUCAGAUUGAAUUUGCAGAGGAUAAUAUUAAGGAUGAUAAUGAAGAUUAAGCUGUUUAUCAUUGUGGUUUAUGGAUUAAGAUGGAGUAAUGUUGAGAAUGGAUACAUGUAUGGUAGACUAAUUACUUUUAUUAGAAGAUACUUAUAUAGAAUAUAAUAUUUUAGUUUUCCGUAGAGUAUUAGUAGUAAAUUCU